UACGUAGGGUGCAAGCGUUGUCCGGAAUUAUUGGGCGUAAAGAGCUCGUAGGCGGUCUGUCGCGUCUGCUGUGAAAACUCGGGGCUUAACUCCGGGCCUGCAGUGGGUACGGGCAGACUAGAGUGCGGUAAGGGAGACUGGAAUUCCUGGUGUAGCGGUGAAAUGCGCAGAUAUCAGGAGGAACACCGGUGGCGAAGGCGGGUCUCUGGGCCGUAACUGGACGCUGAGGAGCGAAAGCGUGGGGAGCGAACAGG
rnacentral:rRNA from 1 species